rnacentral:rRNA from 1 species
AGUGUAGGCGGUCCGUCAAGUUGGUUGUGAAAUCUCCUGGCUCAACUGGGAGGGUGCGACCAAAACUGACGGACUAGAGUCCGGGAGAGGAGAGUGGAAUUCCUGGUGUAGCGGUGAAAUGCGUAGAUAUCAGGAGGAACACCGGUGGUGAAGACGGCUCUCUGGACCGGUACUGACGCUGAGACUCGAAAGCGUGGGGAGCAAACA